rnacentral:rRNA from 1 species
AGAGUUUGAUCCUGGCUCAGGACGAACGCUGGCGGCGCGCCUAACACAUGCAAGUCGAACGGGAUCCGCGUGCUCGGCACUGAGCGCGAAGAGUAGGUGAAACAAGUAGCCGACAGCGUCAUGCGAGAGGAAAGGUAUUACGCUGCGACCUAAGUUGAUAGUAGAAGGAUAAUUUGGGAGCAGGGGCAUGUAAGAACCGAAACUCGAGCAUCACGCUUUUCCAAGUGAAUAGCACAUGCAAAAACUUGGGCGCUGAGUGUUGAGCACGCGGUGAGAGUGGCGGACGGGCGAGUAACGCGUGAGCAACCAACCUUGCACUGGGGGAUAACGUCGGGAAACCGGCGCUAAUACCGCAUGACAUUACUGGAUCGCAUGGUCUUGUAAUCAAAGCUCCGGCGGUGCGAGACGGGCUCGCGUCCAAUUAGCUGGUUGGCGGGGUAAAGGCCCACCAAGGCGACGAUUGGUAGCCGAACUGAGAGGUUGAUCGGCCGCAUUGGGACUGAGACACGGCCCAGACUCCUACGGGAGGCAGCAGUGGGGAAUCUUGCGCAAUGGGGGAAACCCUGACGCAGCGACGCCGCGUGAAGGAAGAAGGCCUUCGGGUUGUAAACUUCUUUGAUCGGGGACGAAGCAGACGGUACCCGAGGAACAAGCCACGGCUAACUACGUGCCAGCAGCCGCGGUAAUACGUAGGUGGCGAGCGUUGUCCGGAAUUACUGGGCGUAAAGGGCGUGUAGGCGGGGGUAGAAGUCAGGUGUGAAAUACCGCGGCUCAACUGCGGGGAUGCAUCUGAAACUCUGCUUCUUGAGUGUCGGAGAGGAAAGCGGAAUUCCCAGUGUAGCGGUGAAAUGCGUAGAGAUUGGGAGGAACACCAGUGGCGAAGGCGGCUUUCUGGACGACAACUGACGCUGAGGCGCGAAAGCGUGGGGAGCAAACAGGAUUAGAUACCCUGGUAGUCCACGCUGUAAACGAUGGAUACUAGGUGUAGGAGGUAUCGACCCCUUCUGUGCCGGAGUUAACACAAUAAGUAUCCCGCCUGGGGAGUACGGCCGCAAGGCUGAAACUCAAAUGAAUUGACGG